ACGGCGCUAUUCUGUUGUACCGAGUCUUACUCUCCCUCAGAAACCCUAAUUAAUUUUUCCUAUAAAUUAAUACCUUGUGCUAUGUUUCACAACGCCGCUCUUGUGUUAAGCAUUUCGUCUCAAACUUUCCUGGUUCUUUAUUUUCAAUUUGUUUUCAUGUCUUAUUUGAUUUCAUUUCUUAUUUGAUUUCAAUUUCAGUUUCUUUAUUAAAACUAUUUGUAUAUUGGAAUGAAAAAGAGAUCACAGUGAUGACCACAUAAUAUUCAAGCUCAACAGACCGGAAUGCAGGGUUCUCUCUCUUAUUAGAGAUUACUUUGCGUGUCGACUACCCCGCUGAACUGAGUGAUCUCUUUCUUGAAAAUUUUCUUUUUCUUUUCUCUUUUUAUUUUUUCAGUUAACUGUAUGUGUUUGGGUAAAGAGUUUUCACGAUGAGGAUAAAAAGCUCCCUCUUCUGAAAUCUUUGAGGAAGUCCGCUGGCAGAAUCGAACCUUAAAACUUAUUGCCACCACUGAUUGUUAUCACUCUUUCCCCAUAUUCGUUUUUAUUAACCAUAUUGUGUUUUUUGUAAUGUGAUUUCUUAAAAUUAUAACAUGGCUUUUUUAUAUUAAAUUGUUUUCUCUGGGUGAGGUUGGUGAUGAGUUUAAUAGUUUGUCUACAUUGGAUGAUUAUCUGCAUUUGGAUAUAUUUACAAAUUAUCUGAGGUCUCCAAACUUAGUUAUUUUUAUGUCCUCAUAUACUUUUUGAGCUUAUAUAGAGUAGCCAAAGUAAAUAAUGAACUUGUUCCCAUCCAAGGAGCUCAUAUGAACUUCAAUGAAGUUUGUUACCGUGAAUGUCAUACUGGUGUAAAAGAGAUCCAAUUACAUGAUCCUAAGAGCUCCCAGAGGUGCUAAAUUAUAGGCAUUGUAGUCAUCCAUAAAUUGACACCCUAGCAAUAAAUUUAAAACAAACUGUCCAUCCUAGCCCAUAAUUUAUUUCUUCAAUAAUGGUUGAGAUUUGUUGUAUAUACCUUGUGUAAUAAUUUCUACCAUAUCUAUCCCAAAUUCCUAUGUAUGUUUCAUAUUUAACAAUUCUAUUAAGAUGGGUGAUCUUGUCCUAAAAUUAAGUGGGAACGUCG